GGGCCAGUGGUGCAGUGGAUAACUUGCCUGACUAUGGAUCAGGAGAUUGCAGGUUUGACUCCUGCCUGGCUUG
rfam:Nestor notabilis contig56945, whole genome shotgun sequence.